GAACAAAGUAGCCUUUGGAUGGUUCAGUGCCCUGAGGCCUUGGUUCUCAGGGGAAUCCUGGUAGAAUAUACUAGUGAAAGGUCACUCCCCACUUACUACCAGUGGCCUAACUGCAAUCCUGUACACAGAGUCAACCUUAAGGCAGAGAUGUAGUAAGGAAGGGGAUUUCAAAGGGACCCUUUGUGAGUGUCCCUGAUCUGCCUGUCACUAGGAGGCUGGAGGGCCAAAGGAGUAGGCUGAGAGAUUGAGUACCAGAAGUCCUAGAUGCAGGGAUGCUUCCUCCAGGUGCCACUGCAGAGGUCUGAUGACCUGCCUGCUUCUAUAGAUACUGCAACACUGUUUUGUCUUCCAUCAUGAAGGUCACUCAGAUUACACAGGUACUGCAAUAAGCAGUUCUGAGCAUCAAAGAGCCUAAAAUGAAAAGUAUGAAAUCUGUUGGGACCAGGUAUGGGAUGGACAAAGGUCAGUCAGAACACAUACCCAGUGAAAUGAAGUAAAAUGAAAGGCCAUGAUGAUCUCAAACUAUUUAAUGACAUGGGGAAAUGAUCUCAUCUGAACAGUAAAGAAUAAAAGGAGUCUACAAAGCCUUCAAAACUUGGUGAGGGCAAUCAAAGUCCCUCUAUCUUACCACCACUGAAGCUCAUCACGGACCCCAUACUGAAAGUACCUGGACUUUAUGUGCAUGAACAAUCCCUGACUUUAUGAUGAUGGAGAAGGUGGUUCAGGGAAGGCUGCCUGGCUUGAUUCUGUAGCUGCCGGCCCAGAACUGAGCUCCUUCUCUUCCCCGUACACAGCUGCUUUUGGCCCUCUUGACGGUUGUACCACCUUCUUUCACUUGUCCCCAGUCCUCUUCAUACCCACUCUCUUACUGGUCCUUAACAGAUGGUCACCAAAUUCAUUCUGCCCCCUGACUCUCACUUCAGUGGGUCUCUCUUUUCCAACCCUGAGGCAGUACCCCGAUUCUAAUGCCUGUCCCCUUUAGCCCACUGCUUGCAGAGGCCCCGCCAUAGUGCCCAGCUGAUCCUGGAACCUAUUUUUCUCUCCCUGAUGUGGCUGUUGCUGUGUCUUAGGCUGCUGAGAGCAUAUUGUCACAUGAUCAAAAAGAGAACAUUUAGGAUUUCACAACCCUGAAAUUAUAGUAAGCCUGUUAAUUUGGGUCUUGGGCUAAAGACUGCAAUAGUACCCACUCUGCAACCUGAGUGGAGGACUGCAUAUUUACUCACAUUAGAAGCAAACAAAGUUUUGGUAAGAUCAUUAGGAUAGAUUCCUAAAACUAAUGUAUAUAUCAAAGGCCAUGCAAUUUUAACUGUUUGUUAAAAAUCUCACUCCAGAAAGAUUGUUUUCAAAUUAUAUUCUCAUGAGUAAUGAGAGGGAAUUUUUUUUGCCUCUAUCAUUACUAAAACUUUAAUUUCAAUAAAGAUAAUAUUCCCAAAAAUAAAUACUUUUUCCCACAAUAAAAUUCCUUUUUUUGGGUCCUGUUUCACCUCUAUCACCAAAAAGGUAGGCUUUUACAAAAUGUUUACUUUCUCCCUCUCUUUUGCCCUACCAUAAUUGAAACAAUUGGAAUACUUUUAAUUCUACUUUCACACCCUACUCUCAUCCCCCAAACCAUGGGGCUGGUGGAGAUAGUUGAUGUCUGAAGGUAUAAAAGUAAUACAGCUAAGGAUUUUUUUAAAAAAUCAUUUUUAGGCCUCUAUAGGGAGCAAUAUUUAACUUAUAAUAUGAAAGCCUAUUAAUCAGCUUUCAGAUAUUGAGCAUUAAAUGACAUUUUUAGGGAUGAAGACAACAGCAAAGUUGAAUUUAGACCUUGUCAAAAUUUAAGGAGGUCUCCAACAUUAAGGUGUUCCCAACUCCCCAAAAGAAUAUAAGUAUAUUCAAAUAAUGAGUUAGCAAAGUUACCAAGUACAAUGGUGAAAGAAAAAAAAAGAAUACCUGCCCAUAAGAUGUUGUGAAAAAAUACGAGGAUCAAACAUAAAAAAAAAAAUUCAGAUGUAACCACCCACAAAUUUGGGGGCCACAUUCACAUUCAGCAGGAAAUCUUAAGGAGGAGAAUUUAUUCUAAAGUGGUUCUGGGCUGGUUGUGUAGAGAAUAUAAGGUUAAAGGAUAUGUACAUUCAAAUUGACUUUCAACUUAAAAGAUUGCCUACAAUCCUUCCAAAGGCUCCACUGCUCCCAGUUUGAUCUGCCUUCAUGGAAUCACAGAGAUAGCCUAUGUUGGAAGCCAAAGCUGUGUAAUACCCUGACUAUAAUCAUCAUUCUCAGUGCUUUCCUUUACUGUUAUUACCUGAGUGGGAAUAUUACCCUGGCUGAAUUUGGAGUCCCUCUCUCACCAACUGUCCAGCCAUUUCCAAAGUGAGUUUAAUGAGUAUUCUUAUAUCUCUAGUGUUAGCAGAAGACUAGACAACAGAGUGCAUUGAACAGGACUCUCCUGGGCAACGCUGGAACCUCAGACCAGCAUGGGUCAUUUGAACCCAUUCAAUGAAUUAGCGUCUACACAAUGUAUGUAAUCAAGGCCAUCAAGAUGAGAGUAAGGAACUUGCCAUCCAGAAUCUGUGGCUUUUUGUCACAGGACUACAGAACCAACCUCCUUUUGUCUCCAAGCAUGAAGAGCCAGUAUCUGAGAAUUAAAGUCCUCCAGAGAGUAGACUUUAGCUAAUAAUUGGUAGAUAUAUAGUUAUAAGUAUUCCAGCUCUGUUGUUCUGUUUGAGACAACUGUGAUUUGUGACCUGUAUUGUCUCCAGUGUCCCCCUAUUGGAUUGUGCCAAAGUGAUCCUAAAUGGUACCUUGGUUGAUAUCAAAAUAUUGUUCGGCCUUCUUCCUCUCCCUGUUGCAUGGUCCCACUCCCUGGUCACUAUAUUUUUACUUGGACCACUUCCUAAUAUAUCACUUUCCGAUGAGUCCUCAAUCAGAGUCAGCUUAUGGGGAACCCAAUCUAAAGGCACAGCCAAGUUGUUUUCCAAAAUAUUUCUUUUACUUUACACUCUUGCCCUCAAUGUUUGUGGUCCCAUUUCCUCACUAGUAUUUGGUACCAUCGGUCUAACUUUUUGUCAAGUGUGUUGCUUUAAUUACUUUGUAUUGACUAAAUUUAUAUGUUAACUAUGCAUAUUAACUUUUUGGAGUGAUCACUAAAAUAAUGUAAAUAGAAUGUAUAACUUCUUAAUGAGUAGAAAAAAGUAAUGAAUUAAUACAAGGAACUUAGAACGUUUUAAUUACAAAUAAUUGCCUCCCAGGGUAAAUGUUCUUCUUCUCAUUACUUUAGCUCUGUUUUUUCAUCUUCAAAUUAGACAUUUAUGCUAUUGUUUGUUUAGAUUUAGCCAUGUAUUUGCCAUUUUCUUUGCCAGCAUUCCAGACAUUUAUACUAGUACAUUUUCCUUCUUCUAAAGUAUAUCCUAUAGAUAUACUCCUUUAAUAAUGGUCUAUUAGGGAAACUGUGAUGUCUUUCAUUUUCUGAAAAGUUAUUUUAUCCUCAUUCUUUUAAAAUUAUUCUUGUUGAGUCUCUUUGACUUGUGGAACCAUUCAUAUCUCUUUUUUUCUAUAUAAUAUUGUAUUAUGUACCACCAAAACCUUAGUGAUGCAAUAGUUCUUAAAUGACAAUUUCACUUUUUUGUCCUAAAUUUUUCCCGUUAAUCCAUCGUCAUCAGUUUGGCAAGUUUUGAUACAGGUGCUUUUAAUGUUUGCAUGUAAGCAGGCAGUAACUAUUAUGUCACAGCAGCCCCUGGGCCAACAACAAUUCAUAAUUUUGAUUGAUUGUAAUAAACACCUUGAUAUAAGAGAUAUUAAAAAGUGACAAAUUUGAAUAGAAUUGAUGGAAACAGCAUUAUUCUGUAGUCUUUUAGCUUCCAUUUUUGCUAUUAAAAAAUUAUUUGUCAGCCUAAUUUUGUGUUUCCUCUUUAGUUGUUUGAAAGAUCUCUUUGUGUUUGGUGUUCUGUAACUUUUCUACUGCUUAUCUAAAUAUACAAUCCUUUUUCUUUUUCUGAUAUUAAAAAAACUGAGAUAUGUUACAUCCAGCAAAGGAUAAAAAUCUUAAGUGUAUAACUAGAUGAACAUUUACAUAUGUAUACAUCAGUAUAACACCACUCAGAUCAAUGUAUAGAACAUUUCCAGCAUUCAAAAGGACUCUCAUGCCCCCUCUCAGGCAGGAGCCUCUUAUGUAUAAACAUUCUUCUGACCUUUAUUACCAAAGAUAAACUUUACCUGUUUUUGAACUGCUUGUAAAUGAAAUUAUACAGAAUUUAUGCUGUAUGUCUG
rnacentral:lncRNA from 1 species